rnacentral:sRNA from 1 species
ACAGAGUUGCUGGCACCUUAUACCGGCGAUAUCGCCGCAGAGGGGAUCAGCAACGUUUUGCGCAGCGGACUCUCUUUUCUGAGCAAAGGUGUAAAACGCCAGCAGCGUUAUGUUGCCGACGUUCUCACCGAAGAGUGGCGUAUGGCCCCUGGCCCGCUUGAAAUGGCGUGGUUCGCUGAAGAGACGGCUGCGGUGGAUCGCACGAUAGAUGCACUGGCUAAACGGAUUGAAAAACUGGAGGGCAAAUGA